rnacentral:rRNA from 1 species
UGAGCAAUCUGCCCUUCUCAUCGGAAUAAGCGUUGGAAACGACGUCUAAUGCCGAAUACGACCUCCUUUCGUAUGAUCGGAGGUGGAAAGCUCCGGCGGAGAAGGAUGAGCUCGCGGCCUAUCAGCUAGUUGGUGUGGGUAAUGGCCCACCAAGGCGACGACGGGUAGCCGGCCUGAGAGGGUGACCGGCCACACUGGGACUGAGACACGGCCCAGACUCCGUACGGGAGGNAG